rnacentral:rRNA from 1 species
UACGGAGGGGGCUAGCGUUGUUCGGAAUUACUGGGCGUAAAGCGCACGUAGGCGGCUUUGUAAGUUAGAGGUGAAAGCCCAGGGCUUAACCCUGGAAUUGCCUUUAAGACUGCAUCGCUAGAAUCGUGGAGAGGUAAGUGGAAUUCCGAGUGUAGAGGUGAAAUUCGUAGAUAUUCGGAGGAACACCAGUGGCGAAGGCGGCUCACUGGUCCAUUACUGACGCUGAGGUGGCGAAAAGCGUGGGGAGCAAACAGG